rnacentral:misc_RNA from 1 species
ACAAAAUGUCAACAAAAAACUAACGUGGCAACCCAACAAAAUAGUUGUGCAAUGUCGUCUCAAAAAUGGGAAUAGCAAGCUACCUGUGGAAGUAAACGUGUUUGACAAUGAAUUGGGACACGGUGCCCCUACAGUGGUCAUGUUGCUGGGGCUGGUCGGCAGUGGGGACGAUUUCCGGUCAAUGGUGACCUAUUUAAGCUCUGCUGGGAUCAGAUGUGUGGCUCCGGAAAUACCAGGAUUUGGAGACAGCUUGAUAUCGAGAUCUGAUAUCUACAAUCUCGACUUCACAUCUUUUGGGCAAUGUCAGAUGUUGGCUGAUAUACUCAGAGGGUGGGGCAUCACAAGGUUACGGAGGAUGUGAUAGCAAUCCGAGAAAAGCGACUUCCGGUGUCUGUGGCCUGGAGUCGAAACGAUAAAAUGAUAGAAGAGAAGCUGUCACGUGAUCUCCUAAACACUCUGGGCAUACAUCAAGACGUAAAGAAAAAUCAAGAUCAAGGUUCGACGAUAUACAAGGAGGAACUAGUGUUUGAAAGUGGCGGACAUGUCCUUCAUCAAAAGCACGCUAAAUCAAUAUCUGAAAACAUCAUUGCCAUGCUUCAGACUGUGUUCUGAUUCCAAUGCGUCAAUAAUAAAUAAUCUAUCUAGU